rnacentral:rRNA from 1 species
UAUGGGAGGCAGCAGUAAGGAAUAUUGGUCAAUGGAGGGAACUCUGAACCCCCCAUUCCGCGUGAAGGAGGACGGCCCUCUGGGUUGUAAAAUUUUUUUGUAUGGGAAGAAAAAUUUGCAUUUAUGUGAAUUUGACGGUACCCGAAGAAAAAGCGCCUGGUAAAUCCGUGCCAGCAGCCGCGGUAAUAUGGAGGGGGCAAGCGUUUUCUCGGAAUCACUGGGUUUAAAGGGGGCGUGGGGGGCAUUAUAAGUCAGGAGUGAAAUUCCACAGCUUAACUGUAGGGAAUGCUUUUGAUACUGUAGUGUCUAGAAGCGAGAUGAGGUAGGCGGAAUGUGACAUGUAGCGGUGAAAUGCAAAGAUAUGUCAUAGAACACCAAUUGCGAAGGCAGCUUACUAGACUUAGGUUGAACAUGAGGCAAGAAAAGCGUGGGAGCAAACAGGAUUAGAUACCCUGGUAGUCCACGCCAGAAACGAUGCUAACUCGACGUUUGGGAUUAACUUUGAGCGUCCAAGCGAAAGCGAUAAGUAAGCCACCUGGAGACU